rnacentral:RNase_P_RNA from 1 species
AAGCGGGAUCAGGUAAGGGUGAAAGGGUGCGGUAAGAGCGCACCGCGCGGCUGGUAACAGUCCGUGGCACGGUAAACUCCACCCGGAGCAAGGCCAAAUAGGGGUUCAUAAGGUACGGCCCGUACUGAACCCGGGUAGGCUGCUUGAGCCAGUGAGCGAUUGCUGGCCUAGAUGAAUGACUGUCCACGACAGAACCCGGCUUAUCGGUCAGUUUCACCU